rnacentral:rRNA from 1 species
AUUGAACGCUGGCGGCAGGCCUAACACAUGCAAGUCGAACGAGUGGCGGACGGGUGAGUAAUGGCUGGGAAACUGCCUAAUGGAGGGGGAUAACUACUGGAAACGGUAGCUAAUACCGCAUACCAUAGGAUGAGCCCAAGGGGGAUUAGGUAUUUGGUGAGGUAAAGGCUCACCAAGCCGACGAUCUCUAGCUGGUCUGCGAGGCUGACCAGCCACACUGGGAGUGAGACACGGCCCAGACUCCUACGGGAGGCAGCAGUGGGGAAUAUUGCGCAAUGGGGGCAACCCUGACGCAGCCAUGCCGCGUGAAUGAAGAGGGCCUUCGGGUUGUAAAGUUCUUUCGGUAGCGAGGCGUUAACUACAGAAGAAGCACCGGCUAACUCCGUGCCAGCAGCCGCGGUAAUAC